ACCAACAGGGAUCUGCCUAGUAACGGCGAGUGAAGCGGCAAAAGCUCAAAUUUGAAAUCUAGUACCUUCGGUGCUCGAGUUGUAAUUUGAAGAUGGUAACUUUGGAGUUGGCCUUUGUCUAUGUUCCUUGGAACAGGACGUCACAGAGGGUGAGAAUCCCGUCUGACGAGGUGAUCCAGCUCUAUGUAAAGUGCUAUCGAAGAGUCGAGUUGUUUGGGAAUGCAGCUCUAAGUGGGUGGUAAAUUCCAUCUAAAGCUAAAUAUUGGCGAGAGACCGAUAGCGAACAAGUACAGUGAUGGAAAGAUGAAAAGAACUUUGAAAAGAGAGUGAAAAAGUACGUGAAAUUGUUGAAAGGGAAGGGUAUUAGAUCAGACUUGGCGUUUUAUGAUUAUCUUCCCUUCUUGGGUUGUGCACUCGUAUUGCGCUGGGCCAGCAUCGAUUCGGAUGGCAGGAUAAUGGCAAUUGAAUGUGGCAUCCACUUCGGUGUAUGUGUUAUAGCUUUUGUUGAUGCUGCCUAUCUGGAUCGAGGACUGCGUCUUUUGACUAGGAUGUUGGCGUAAUGA
rnacentral:rRNA from 1 species